rnacentral:rRNA from 1 species
GACGAACGCUGGCGGCGUGCUUAACACAUGCAAGUCGAACGGAAAGGCCCUGCUUUUGUGGGGUGCUCGAGUGGCGAACGGGUGAGUAACACGUGAGUAACCUGCCCUUGACUUUGGGAUAACUUCAGGAAACUGGGGCUAAUACCGGAUAGGAGCUCCUGCUGCAUGGUGGGGGUUGGAAAGUUUCGGCGGUUGGGGAUGGACUCGCGGCUUAUCAGCUUGUUGGUGGGGUAGUGGCUUACCAAGGCUUUGACGGGUAGCCGGCCUGAGAGGGUGACCGGCCACAUUGGGACUGAGAUACGGCACAGCCUCCUACGGGAGGCAGCAGUGGAGAGUAUUGCACAAUGGGCGGAAGCCUGAUGCAGCAACGCAGCGUGCGGGAUGACGGCCUUCGGGUUGUAAACCGCUUUCGCCUGUGACGAAGCGUGAGUGACGGUAAUGGGUAAAGAAGCACCGGCUAACUACGUG